rnacentral:rRNA from 1 species
UAAGGUGGUUAUAGCGACGGGGCUCACCUCUUACCAUUCCGAACAGAGAAGUUAAGCCCGUUAGCGCCGAUGGUACUGCACUUCGUGGAAGAGUAGGUCGCCGCCUUUU